rnacentral:rRNA from 1 species
UACAGAGGUCCCAAGCGUUGUUCGGAUUCACUGGGCGUAAAGGGUGCGUAGGUGGCGAAGUAAGUCGGAUGUGAAAUCUCCGAGCUCAACUCGGAAACUGCAUUGGAAACUGCUUUGCUUGAGGUUUGGAAGGGGGACUGGAAUUCUCGGUGUAGCAGUGAAAUGCGUAGAGAUCGAGAGGAACACCAGUGGCGAAGGCGAGUCCCUGGACAACACCUGACACUGAGGCACGAAAGCCAGGGGAGCAAACAGG